GUGAGGAAUUUUCCGCAAUGGGCGAAAGCCUGACGGAGCAAUGCCGCGUGAAGGAUGAAGGCCUAUGGGUUGUAAACUUCUUUUCUCAGAAAAGAAUUAUGACGGUAUCUGAGGAAUAAGCAUCGGCUAACUCUGUGCCAGCAGCCGCGGUAAGACAGAGGAUGCAAGCGUUCUCCGGCAUGAUUGGGCGUAAAGCGUCUGUCGGUUGUUUAAACAGUAUUCUGUCAAGGAUUAGGGCUUAACCCUAGAUAGGCAGAAUAAACUUUUAAGCUAGAGUUAGGUAGAGGCAGAGGGAAUUCCCGGUGGAGCGGUGAAAUGCGUAGAUAUCGAGAGGAACACCAAAGGCGAAGGCACUCUGCUGGGCCAAUACUAACACUGAGAGACGAAAGCGAGGGGAGCAAAUGGGAUUAGAAACCCUGGUAGUCC
rnacentral:rRNA from 1 species